CCUACGGGUGGCAGCAGUAGGGAAUCUUGCACAAUGGGGGAAACCCUGAUGCAGCAACGCCGCGUGGAGGAUGAAGGUUUUCGGAUCGUAAACUCCUUUUGUUAGAGAAGAUAAUGACGGUAUCUAACUAAUCAGCACCGGCUAACUCCGUGCCAGCAGCCGCGGUAAUACGGCGGGGGCAAGCGGUCCUCGGAGUCACUGGGCGUAAAGAGCGCGGAGGCGGGAGAGCAGAGCAGAUGUGAAAUCCUAUGGCUUAACCAUAGAAGUGCAUUGGAAACUGUUAUACUGGAGUAUGGGAGAGGAAAGUGGAAGUCUAGGUGGAGGGGUAAAAGCCGUAGAGAUAAAGAGGAAUACUCAUUGCGAAGGCGACCGUCUAGAACACAACUGACGCUGAGGCGCGAAAGCAUGGGGAGCAAACAGGAUUAGAUACCCGAGUAGUC
rnacentral:rRNA from 1 species